UUGGUAGCUCAGUUGGAAAAGCAGCAGGGCGUAAACCCGAGAGACCUGGGUUCGAAUCCCAGUUGCAGAA